rnacentral:rRNA from 1 species
GAUGAACGCUAGCUACAGGCUUAACACAUGCAAGUCGAGGGGCAGCAUGAACUUAGCUUGCUAAGUUUGAUGGCGACCGGCGCACGGGUGAGUAACACGUAUCCAACCUGCCGAUGACUCGGGGAUAGCCUUUCGAAAGAAAGAUUAAUACCCGAUGGCAUAGUUCUUCCGCAUGGUAGAACUAUUAAAGAAUUUCGGUCAUCGAUGGGGAUGCGUUCCAUUAGGUUGUUGGCGGGGUAACGGCCCACCAAGCCGUCGAUGGAUAGGGGAUCUGAGAGGACGGUCCCCCACAUUGGAACUGAGACACGGUCCCAACUCCUACGGGAGGCAGCAGUGAGUACUAUUGGUCAAUGGACGAGAGUCUGAACCAGCCAAGUAGCGUGAAGGAUGUCUGCCCUAUGGGUUGUAAACUUCUUUUAUACGGGAAUAAAGUGAGGCACGUGUGCCUUUUUGUAUGUACCGUAUGAAUAAGGAUCGGCUAACUCCGU